rnacentral:rRNA from 1 species
GACGAACGCUGGCGGCGUGCCUAACACAUGCAAGUCGAGCGGAGUCGAUCGACGGAAGCCUUCGGGCGGAAGAUGGUUGACUUAGCGGCGGAUGGGUGAGUAACGCGUGGGCAACCUGCCUCGAAGACCGGGAUAACAGCCCGAAAGGGCUGCUAAUACCGGAUGUGGUCAAAGAUCCGCAUGGAUUUUUGAUUAAAGGGGAAACCCGUUUCGAGAUGGGCCCGCGUCCUAUCAGCUAGUUGGUGAGGUAAAAGCUCACCAAGGCGACGACGGGUAGCCGGCCUGAGAGGGUGACCGGCCACACUGGAACUGAGACACGGUCCAGACUCCUACGGGGGGCAGCAGUGGGGAAUCUUCCACAAUGGGCGAAAGCCUGAUGGAGCGACGCCGCGUGAGCGAAGAAGGCCUCGGUUGUAAGCUCUGUCUGGAGGGACGAAGGAAGUGACGGUACCUCCGGAGGAAGCCACGGCUAACUACGUG